rnacentral:rRNA from 1 species
GAUGAACGCUGGCGGCGUGCCUAAUACAUGCAAGUCGAGCGGACCAAAGAGAGCUUGCUCUCUGAGGUUAGCGGCGGACGGGUGAGUAACACGUGGGUAACCUGCCUGUAAGACGGGGAUAACUUCGGGAAACCGAAGCUAAUACCGGAUGAUAAAGAGAAACGCCUGUUUCUUUUUUGAAAGUCGGCCUUGUGCUGACGCUUACAGAUGGGCCCGCGGCGCAUUAGCUAGAUGGUGAGGUAACGGCUCACCAAGGCGACGAUGCGUAGCCGACCUGAGAGGGUGAUCGGCCACACUGGGACUGAGACACGGCCCAGACUCCGACGGGAGGCAGCAGUAGGGAAUCUUCGGCAAUGGACGAAAGUCUGACCGAGCAACGCCGCGUGAGCGAUGAAGGCCUUUGGGUCGUAAAGCUCUGUUGUCAGAGAAGAACAAGUACCGGAGUAACUGCCGGUACCUUGACGGUACCUGACCAGAAAGCCACGGCUAACUACGUGCCAGCCGCCGCGGUAAAAC